rnacentral:rRNA from 1 species
UACGGAGGGGGCUAGCGUUGUUCGGAAUUACUGGGCGUAAAGCGCACGUAGGCGGCUUUGUAAGUUAGAGGUGAAAGCCCGGGGCUCAACCUCCGGAAUUGCCUUUAAGACUGCCAUCGCUAGAAUUGUGGAGAGGUAAGUGGAAUUCCGAGUGUAGAGGUGAAAUUCGUAGAUAUUCGGAAGAACACCAGUGGGCGAAGGCGACUUACUGGACACAUAUUGACGCUGAGGUGCGAAAGCGUGGGGGAGCAAACAGG